UACAGAGGUGGCAAGCGUUGUUCGGAAUUACUGGGCGUAAAGGGCGCGUAGGCGGUUCGAUAAGUCCCGUGUGAAAGCCCCCGGCUCAACUGGGGAGGGUCACGCGAUACUGUUCGACUCGAAGGCAGGAGAGGGAAGUGGAAUUCCCGGUGUAGUGGUGAAAUGCGUAGAUAUCGGGAGGAACACCAGUGGCGAAGGCGACUUCCUGGCCUGUUCUUGACGCUGAGGCGCGAAAGCUAGGGUAGCAAACGGG
rnacentral:rRNA from 1 species